rnacentral:rRNA from 1 species
AACGAGUUAACUGACCCUUCGGGUGACGUUAACGGCGUCGAGCGGCGGACGGGUGAGUAAUGCCUGGGAAUAUGCCUUGAUGUGGGGGAUAACCAUUGGAAACGAUGGCUAAUACCGCAUAAUCUCUACGGAGCAAAGAGGGGGACCUUCGGGCCUCUCGCGUCAAGAUUAGCCCAGGUGGGAUUAGCUAGUUGGUGAGGUAAAGGCUCACCAAGGCGACGAUCCCUAGCUGGUCUGAGAGGAUGAUCAGCCACACUGGAACUGAGACACGGUCCAGACUCCUACGGGAGGCAGCAGUGGGGAAUAUUGCACAAUGGGCGCAAGCCUGAUGCAGCCAUGCCGCGUGUGUGAAGAAGGCCUUCGGGUUGUAAAGCACUUUCAGUCGUGAGGAAGGUGGUGUAGUUAAUAGCUGCAUUAUUUGACGUUAGCGACAGAAGAAGCACCGGCUAACUCCGUGCCAGCAGCCGCGGUAAUACGGAGGGUGCGAGCG